GAUGAACGCUGGCGGCGUGCCUAAUACAUGCAAGUCGAGCGAACAGAUGAGAAGCUUGCUUCUCUGAUGUUAGCGGCGGACGGGUGAGUAACACGUGGGUAACCUACCUAUAAGACUGGGAUAACUCCGGGAAACCGGGGCUAAUACCGGAUAAUAUUUUGAACCGCAUGGUUCAAUAGUGAAAGACGGUUUCGGCUGUCACUUAUAGAUGGACCCGCGCCGUAUUAGCUAGUUGGUAAGGUAACGGCUUACCAAGGCGACGAUACGUAGCCGACCUGAGAGGGUGAUCGGCCACACUGGAACUAGACACGGUCCAGACUCCUACGGGAGGCAGCAGUAGGGAAUCUUCCGCAAUGGGCGAAAGCCUGACGGAGCAACGCCGCGUGAGUGAUGAAGGUCUUCGGAUCGUAAAACUCUGUUGUUAGGGAAGAACAAACUUGUUAGUAGCUGAACAAGUCUUGACGGUACCUAACCAGAAAGCCACGGCUAACUACGUGCCAGCCGCCGCCGUAA
rnacentral:rRNA from 1 species